rnacentral:lncRNA from 1 species
GUCAGAAAGAGGGUGUUCUUUUAGGGCAGGGAGCCCAGUACAUAACAGUUAUUGUAGAACACAAGGUGAGGGGAGUGAACGGGACAGUGAGUGGCCGAGUCUGUCCAAAGUCACAGGCCUCUGGAGGAGUUUAGUUGGGAGGGGGGAAGUGGAAGGUAGCUUGAUCAGUGAGAUGUUCAUCCAUGAAUACUGAAGUCGUGAAGGGGCAAGGGUCGAGUGUUGUGAAAGAGAAGAAAGGUAAACAAAGGGCCAAGAUCAGUUAAGAGUGUAGAAGUAGGUCCAACAGCAAAGGGGGAGCACAAAGGUACAGAAUAAAAUUUCAAAGGUAAAAAGCAAUUGGUAGCUGGAAGCAAUUUGGGAAGAGGCCCCGCCAUUUUGACUGACAAGAGUUUGGGGACUAAAAAAAAAGGAGAGACCUCUGAAGAAGAAAUCAGCCGUGGGGCUGGGGCUGGUGAGAGCAAGUGAGGGAAAAGCAAAAGGGUAGAGAUGUAGACAUCAUAAGGUACAGUUCAACUGAAGGAAUGGUUGGACACCAAACGAGCACCAUAUGGUCUAGGGUCCAAAGCGCAUGUUCUGUUUGCUGCAUAUCUGUAUACAAGGAAAAAAUGUUGCUGAAAUGAAUUGGGAAGCAUUUUUCCACAGUGCAAAUUGCAGGCACAGGCCACCAAAUCUGGAUUGGGGCCAUAGUAGUGGACAAAGGUUAACCCCCCCCCCCCCAAUUCUUCCAUGCUAGGGUUCUCAUCUGAACUGGUUCCCCGCAUUCCCAGUCUGUGCUGGCUACGAAUGGCUAGCCAGUUUGCAAGGUCAGUAGUCCAUAGUUUAGCUCUAAAUGUUUGCCUCAUUCAUUACUGUCUUGGUGGGGAAAAAAGGCUUUAUGUUUUUAGCUAUUUUAGGAUAGCAUAUAACUGAUGUUUCUUGUUUUCCGAACAUGUGUUGUUCAUUUUCUUAGUAGCAAAAAACAAAACAAAAAAACCCUCAGUCAAUAUGUCACUGUUUUCAUUUUUAAAACCACCUCCAAUAAUAACCCCCGCCUCCCCAUCAGCAUAUUGGCUCCGGAUGUUCCUCUGUCACUGUGGAAAACCCAGAGCUAAUUUUGACACUUGCUCAGUUUGGGAAGAUGAUUCUUCAUUCUGCGUGGCUUGCAGCUAUAUCUGUAGAGCCAUUUCAUAAUCAUCCGUCUUUUGCUUGAAUUUGAUCACAGCCGCUGAAUCCCCUGCGUUGGUAAUGAAGCCUUAAGGUUGUCUUUUCCUCAGCAUAAAUCCAUCCCAGAGACCUUACUUUGACAGAGUGUGUGUGUGUGUGUGUGUGUGUGUGUGUGUGUGUUUCAGUACGAAUGAAUGUGUGGAGCUGAAAUUGCUCUGCUUUCUUUACAAAUGACUCAGUGUGCUUGUCCUUCCCUAAAAUGCUGCCAGCAUGUAAAGGAUUUUCAAUGAGCAGUGCAAAUAAGCCGGCAGCAGAGAAGGUUUGGAGCUGCACUGUGUAACAGUUUACUGUCACACAGAUGAUCAGGGUUGGAGAGCCAAGCCUCUGUAGUGUUCACCAUACCUCUUUCUGCUCACAUACUGGAAGUUUUGUGUUUCUAACCUGGUUUCUUUUAUGAGCUGGAUAUUUAGUACUACCAAAAUGUGGAGUGGACUUCCUAGCAGAGGUGAGCAAUGAAUUUUAUUAUUAUUAUGAGUAAGCGUUACAGAAUUGCUUUGAGGCACAUUCCUAUACAUUUAUCCCAUGCUUGGCAUCAUUUCUGUAUGUGUGUGGAAGUGGAAUUUUGUGUUUCAUUUGUGCUGGCAGAGACAACACAAAAGGCUAGAAAAAUAAUGAGAAAAUGAUGACAUUGUAAACGUGAACUCCUUUCGGUUUCCUGUCAUUUUACUUGCAGAAGAGGCUGUUCUAGCUCUUAGUUAUUUCAAAUAUAUCAGAAUCCAUCUAUUGGUACAAUAUGACAUGCUAAUCAUUAAUUGAUGAGGCUAAUCAUCAGCGAGAUUGUAUACUUGUGAUCAAAAAUGAUAUGCAGGGCACUGAACCCUACUUAGCCGAAAGCUUGACUCGUGGAAGGGAUAUUAUACAGGAGAUAAAUUACUAACAUGACUUGCAACUAAUAAAAUAAGAUAAAAGCAAUGGACUGCAUACUGGAGUAAUGAAAACUGGAGUCUGACUCUGUGAGUAUUAAACGGUAUGACCUGUCAGUCACAGGACAACCUCCACUAAUUCAUUUGCAAUGACAACUUGUUUUAUGAGAGGCAUAAAAUUACUGUCACUGCCAUCUAAGCAUGCUUUAAUUAAAUAUGACAUUUUAAGUGCUGCACAUCUUUCUUUUUUUUAAAGCAGAAAUAUAUUGCUGAAACUAAUUUGUGAAGUUCAUAUCGCCCACCCCUUAAGUUUCAAAACAUUCUGGCAGAGGAUUAAGUUAUGUUUACUUGUCUAAAAAGUUCUAGCCAAUCACUUCAGUGUGAAUAUUAUUCAUUAAACCUUGCUGUGGGCUUCCUUAUCUUCAUUGAGGUAGGUGUUGUUUUAGUUAUUUGUUUUAGGUCUGGGUAGUAUUGUCCCCAAUGAAGAGAAAAUUACAAGCUAGCAUUAUGAAACUGGCAUUUCUUCUUACAAAAUAACUAAGUAGCUUUGCAGAUCUUUCAGUAGAAACUAACCUAUCUAAUUCUUUCCCCAUUAAAUUUAUUCAUGAAGUAUUUGUUUUUAUAGCUCCCAACGACUGAGUUACAGAUAAGAACAUGUUUGUUUGACUGAAGAUUUGAGAAUUUCCAUUUACUGGCAGUACACGUAAAGCAUGGCUAACCAGGAGCAAACCCAUUUGUAUUAGCCAAUCUGUCUUUGCAAGUCCCAGGGCCACUAUCUUGCUAGAAGCCACUGUGUGCUUUUGAAAGCAUGAAAUUAGUUUUAUACUGAGCACAUGGUUUCUCAUUUAGCAGCUCUUUUUAUGGAAAUGGUCAAUUUAUAGUUCACUGCCAGGAUUUCGGCCUUCUGUCAAAGCUGAUAGAUUCGGCUAAGGUGUCCAUUGG